UAAACUGCUUCUCCAAGAAGCAGUUGAUUACUUAAAAGCAACUUUUACAAAAGCAUAAGCACCUUAGUAUAUUUCUUCUUUAUGCAUUCUAACUUGAAUGAUACAAGAAAGUGUUACUUCCAUUGAAGGGUUGGAACCUUAAACAUUAAGUCAUCCCUACUGUGAAAGGAUAUUUUUGUCUUAAAACCACCAUUUGACAAUGCAGGGUUCCUAUUUCCAAAAUAAACUCUCCUUUUGCCUAAUAUUGUUCUGAGCUUUUGUCCACCAUAAAGUAAAUUUACUAGUUGCUGUUCUCUAUUAUACAACUUCUGUGCCAAUUGAUAACUUUGAUUGUAGGCCUUUGC
rnacentral:lncRNA from 1 species